AAAACGGCGUGCAUCCGCAAUCCGAUUUCAAAAAGUGCAUGUGGGUAUACACCUACUUAGACAGGCGCCUUCUUAUAUACCUCAGGGAUACGUGUCCUUGCGCGCAUAAUUUGCAGUUUAAUGAAAGCGUGACAUUUUAUUGUAUUUAUUCAGCGAUUAUUUUAUAUGGGCGUUUAUAAGUAAUAAGCUGACAGCAGAAAACAUAGUCUACAUCAGAGUUGGACCCCGAUAUCAAACCUCAAUGGAGGAUUGCCUUCAUCAUCAUCAUGGUUAAACGGUCGCAAGCGCCGUAGCUUUAUUAUUAUAAUACCUAUAUAAUAUCUUAGAUUUAUUGAUGGGAAGUAGGUAGAGGAUAAUGCCGUUGCGAUAAAUAAGAUAACAUUGUGAAUAUUAUGUAUUACACCAACUUUAGCUAUAUCUAUAUUAAGAAAAGGCUUAUCAUAUAACCUUCAUAUCAAUUACAGCUAUUAAGAAAAGUUUCGUAUGGGGCUAAAUCAAUAUUUUUCUUGAAUCAAAGUUUAUGUGCCGAUAAUACCUGUGAUAAGGCAAGCUUCUUAAAUCAAAUUGAUACACUUGGGGCAGCACCUUCAUAAUACGUGUAAGCAUACGAUUUAAAACAGAUGUGUUAUUAAUUCCUGCAAUCAAAGUGCUAGGAUAUAAAUUUUUAUUACUCUAGUUAGAAUAGUGCUGUUAUAUAAACUCUCACAAAUUUUGUUAAUUUUUCUUGGAUUUAAGUUUAUAUGGUGAUAAUACCCGUGCUAAGGCAGGCUUCUUAAUCCCGAACAGGAUAGAGAUGGACGUUGGGUGGGAGGAGGUGCCUCAAGACUUGUUUACGGGAGAAAGGAAGCUAACUUUAUGUACUGUUAAUAUCUGUGAUACGACACGCUUCUUAAAUCAAAUUGAUACACUUGAGCAGUACCUUCAUAAUACGUGUAAGCGUACGAUUUAAAACAGAUGUGUUAUUAAUUCUAGCAAUCAAAGAUCGAUCUACCUUGUAUAGCUUUGGUUAAAUUAUUAUUGGUUAGAUACACCUCUUUCCAUGACCACCCAGGAGGCAAUAAAUUCGCACUAGAAAUAAUGCAAUUUAUUGGAGAUGUUUACGACCUCGUUAUAGGAUUCCCCAUUAGUUAUUUCUCUACACAGGGUGUAUGAAAAAAUAACUAACAGGCCUUCCUUUUUAAUAGUACUGCAACAAUGAAAUCUUAAAUUUAUACAAGAAUUUUCUAUUUUUAGCUUUAUACAGGGGUAGUUUGCUAAUAACCUUUAGUCUAAGAAUAUUCCUAAAAUAAUAUCCUAAUUAUUUGUAUACAAAUUUCCUAGGAUUUUGACAAUUUUUCUUGGAUUUAAGUUUAUGUGCUGAUAAUAUCUGUGAUAAGGCAAGCUUCUUAAUUCCAAACUAGGAUAGAGAUGCUUCUGGCGCCUUAAGACUUUUUACGAGAGAAAGGAUAACACCGUAUAGCAUUAUGGAUAAAUACCUAACCACUACAUCUUACUAUUUUAGGUAAGAGCUUAGAACACGGAUACAAUCAUAAUCUAUGCAGUGGGGCGGAUAAGAAAAACAGAACAAAAUUUAACAGGUUUAUUAAUUCU